rnacentral:rRNA from 1 species
GAUCAGGCUCAGGAUGAACGCUAGCUACAGGCUUAACACAUGCAAGUCGAGGGGAAACGAUAUUGGAAGCUUGCUUCCGAUAGGCGUCGACCGGCGCACGGGUGAGUAACGCGUAUCCAACCUGCCCAUCACUUGGGGAUAACCUUGCGAAAGUAAGACUAAUACCCAAUGACGUCUCUAGAAGACAUCUGAAAGAGAUUAAAGAUUUAUCGGUGAUGGAUGGGGAUGCGUCUGAUUAG